rnacentral:rRNA from 1 species
GACUAUAAACAAAUUUAUUGAUGGAAAAUCUCUCGUCCGAUCACUGAAGUUAAGCAACGUCGAGCGUGGAUAGUACUUGGAUGGGUGACCGCUUGGGAACACCACGUAACGUUGGCU